CGAUGAUACGCGAAGAACCUUACCUGGGUUGACAUGCUGGUAUUAGACCUCGAAAGGGGAACGAUCUACUUCCGGUAGAAGCCAGCACAGGUGGUGCAUGGCUGUCGACAGCUCGUGCCGUGAGGUGUUGGGUUAAGUCCCGGAACGAGCGCAACCCUUACUCGUAGUUACUCGCUUUAAAAGCAGCACUCUACGGGGACUGCCGUGGAUAACACGGAGGGAGGUGGGGAUGACGUCAAGUCAUCACGCCCCUUAUGUCCAGGGCUACACACGUGCUACAAUGGUCGAUACAAAGGGACGCAAAACCGUGAGGCGGAGCAAAUCCCUUAAAAUUGGCCCCAGUUCAGAUUGCAGGCUGCAAUUUGCCUGCANGAAGGUGGAAUCGGUAGUAAUCGCGGAUCAGCAUGCCGCGGUGAAUACGUUCUCGGGCCUUGUACACACCGCCCGUCACGCUAA
rnacentral:rRNA from 1 species